rnacentral:rRNA from 1 species
AUGAACGCUAGCUACAGGCUUAACACAUGCAAGUCGAGGGGCAUCAGGGAGAAAGCUUGCUUUCUUGCUGGCGACCGGCGCACGGGUGAGUAACGCGUAUCCAACCUUCCCCUUAGUAGGGCAUAGCCCGGCGAAAGUCGGAUUAAUACCCUAUGUUAUCCGAAGAGGACAUCUGAAUUGGAUUAAAGAUUUAUCGCUAAGGGAUGGGGAUGCGUCUGAUUAGGUAGUCGGCGGGGUAACGGCCCACCGAGCCUACGAUCAGUAGGGGUUCUGAGAGGAAGGUCCCCCACAUUGGUACUGAGACACGGACCAAACUCCUACGGGAGGCAGCAGUGAGGAAUAUUGGUCAAUGGGCGCGAGCCUGAACCAGCCAAGUAGCGUGCAGGAAUGACGGCCCUAUGGGUUGUAAACUGCUUUUAUGCGGGGAUAAAGUGCGGCACGUGUGCCGUUUUGUAGGUACCGCAUGAAUAAGGACCGGCUAAUUCCGUGCCAGCAGCAGC